rnacentral:lncRNA from 1 species
GAUUCCUCCCAGCUGAUUGUUCUGCAGCAUCCUACGGGAGAAGAGAAAGGGCUUUAAGGACGCACAUGCUCUGAAAAGCAAGCAAUGGAAGGAAAUACGAGGGAAAUUGACAUCAGACAUCAGAAAGUAAUUCGUGCCUAGGAUGCAGGUGGAAUCUUCUGCUUUGAAGCAUACCCUGUGGCAACGCGACCUCCCUGGGAACCUCUCCUAUCUACCUUCAGUCCCUAUGCAUCCGCUUCCUCCCAAUUCCUCUUGCCCUCACUCAUCAUAAGCAUAUGAGGAGGCUUUGGGAGGACAGUCUUAG